CUCACAGAGAUCCACCUGCCUCUGCCCUCCAAGUGCUGGGAUUACAGGCAUGUGCCACUAUGCCCAGAAAAGUCUUAUUGUUUUUAAAACUAAUUUUUCAACUCAUUAGUUCCUGCAUGUGCUUUCCUAUAAGCUUUAUGAUAACUUUUUUAGAUUUGUGAGUGAUGGAUUUUAUGCCUUUGUUAAUACUUGGAUAGGACUCCAUUCAAAACUGUAGACUGCACAGUAGACCAGAGAGAAGUCCCUGCCCUGGUCCAGAGCACCGCAUCCUGGAGUUACAUUUCAUAAAACGUGGAAGAGCACCACGGUUUGGGUACACUCACACUGGAGCAGUUGACUGCUUUCCCAGAGCUACUUCUCUUCUCCAGCCUGUAGUGCACUGACUGAGAGAAGACACAGUAUACAUUUAAGCUGUAUGCUGACAGACUAUUAAAUGCAUUUUUAUUAUCUUUGUGAGCCUGGGGCUUUUUAAAGUCACUUUCCAGCGCUAGCGUUUAGUUCCUGGCAACCAUCUCUUCAGGACUUUUAUAGAUCCCCCUCUAAGGCUGCAAUUAUUCAGAGACAAGGGCUUCCCUUCUUAUCUGCUCCACUCUCUUGAGGAGGACUUUGAAAGCACAAGAUAAUACCCCUUUUUAAAAUGAGUUGCUUAGCAAGAGUCUCCUCUUUUCUUCUGGGAAGUUCGAUGUGCUUCUCAGGGGGAAAUGAGUCCUGGGAGGGGGGUGAGUGCUCCAGGGAGGACCACAGAGCCUGGUGCUUCUGAGAACCUGCAGGGAACCUACUGUGAUGCUUUUGUACCGUCUCGCAGGUCUUACAAAAGGCCUUUUUGGGCAGUCAAAACCCUCCUCUGUCCCUGGUCACGCGUGGCUGCCUUUUCUUUGACUAUUCUAUGUUAUAGUAAGUUGUGCACAUAUAUAUUUUCCUUGUAAAUGGUGACAGGCUUGGGGGCAUGUACCAUCCCCAUCCCCAGAGUUUGGUACAUAGUACGUGUUUAAUAACAUCUGCUGAAUUGAACGUAUUUUUUUUUUUUCUUUUUUGCUAUCUAGUGGGCUCAGCUGGGGCUGAAUUGUGACAUCCUGCUUCUGUUCAAAGAUUUCUAGGAUGGGUUACCAGCUGGAGGAGGCAGUUCUAACUGCUCUCUUGGGGGGGGGUGUUUUGCUGACUACCCCGUCCAAGCUUACCUGUAGGCUCCAGGCAACCUAGCUCUUAGUGGCUACAUCCUACCCUUAGACAAUGCCAGCUUCUUCUCCAACUUGUCUUUGCUCCAAUCCCUUGAACAAGCUUCUGCCUUUACUUCCCUUUUGUUUGUAUCCUCAGUGAGGGUUAGAAAUGAACCCUUACACUCAGCAUCUGGACCCUGUGGUCUUAAUCUCAGUUACCACCUACAGGUAUGCGCCCACACACCUUUCUCCUUGCACUUGAGGAUUGUGAUCGUUUUUUAUUGCCAGCUGGACACUGACCCUGUCCCUGUGGUCUGUAUACUACCACUUCUCUGGUUGACAGAGAUCCAUAAAUUACCCAAUUUACACUGUAUCCACAGAUGCUGGUAAUCCGCCCCCAACACACAGGCCAUUCCCCAUUACCUUAUGUCAGCCCUCUAGUAACUGUGCUCAGAUGCUUAGGAGACAGGAAGAACCGGGGACAUUUUAACAGGAUUGCCCCACAGAGGUCAAGGACAAACAAACUAAAGUCACAGUCUAGAUGCCAUCUAUAGGCCAGAUGCUGCCCACAGGCAAGAUGUAAGAUGUAGUUCACAGGCUAGCUACUGUCCACAGGCUAACUACUGUCCACAGGCUAGAUGUAAGAUGUAGUUCACAAGCCAGAUACUGUCCAUGGAUCAGACACUGUCUGCGGGCCAGAUGCUGUCCACAGGCCAGAGGCUAUCCAUGGCCUGUUCAAAUGUGGUUGGACAAACCAUAGCUACCACUCACGUGUGGACUGUGGCUAAUCUUGUGUUGCAUUUGCAGAGCUAAGAUGCCACAAAUACAGUAGGCCAGAAAGCUUCUUAAUGCAGACACCACGUGGCCCUUCAGAAUGUAUGCUGACCCUUGUCCCUCGUAAAGGCCACCAAAGAGCACUGAGCUGGAACCCCACUACCUCAGGAGGCUUGUGAUUUCAUUAUUAGUGUUUCCUCACCUGUUAAGUGGGGACAAUGACACAUUCUACCUCAUAGGGUUCUUAAUGCAAAAAAAAAAAAAUGAUAAAAGGAUACAAAUUUUAAUGAAGCUUGGAGCACUCAGGAAAUUAUUAUUUUUAUUCUUGCUAAAGUUUAGAGAGGUAAAGAUACUCAUCCAAGGUCAUAUUGCUUGUAAGGGACAGAGUCAAGCUUGGUCCCCAAGCCCAAGGACUAUGUUCCCAACCAACCAUCUCCUAUGUUAACGUAAGCUGCAUAUAUCCCACACCAGUGCCAGAUGACAGCUGUGAAAGCCAGGGCAAGAUGCCACCUGACCCAGGUGUGGCCCACACUAGUGGCUUGGAGAAGGUCAAGGAGUCCCUCAGUUUUCCUUCCCUUGGAGAAGUCUACUGGUUUUGGUGUCGUCAGAUCAUUCUGAGUUGCCUGAGAGUGUCACGGGCCCAACUGUUCCUAUACAAAGAUUCUGUUCUCAAUGCUGUGUCACAGUGGGCAUACCUCUUACUAGUUGGUUGACCUUGGACAAAUUAUUGUGUCAAUGCUGUGCCACAGUGGGCAUGCCUCUUACUAGUUGGUUGACCUUGGACAAAUUAUUGUGUCUGGACCUUUGUUUUCCCUUUCUGUAAAAUGGGUCUUUUCAGCAAUCCUGGGGUGAUGGAAAAUCCCAGGGGGCAGAGGACAGUGAUGCUGCUGGGAGACCACGAGAAUCCAUGGACCCCUGGAGGACUGCUGCUACCCACCAAAGACAUGGAAGAGGACGGCUCACAGCUGCAGGCUUAUUUGGUUUUCCCUCCAGCCAGUGCGUCUUGAGUCAAGAUCCGCAAGACCAUAGGAGCCAAAAUGUGGUCAUUAGUCAACAGUUUCCAGAUUCCACUGUUUGUCGCUUCCUUGCAAGCCCAUUGUUCCACCACACACUGAGACGUCUCCAGCCAUCUCUUCCCUAAGAGCCUCCUCUCAGGCCAAGUGGUCACAACAGCUUCAUCUCCACGGUCAAGUGACAACAGAGCAAAGCAGACUGGAUCAGGUCAGAGAAGAUGGUCUUCCAGCAGGACUCUGAUGAGCUGGGAUUGGAGGGCCUCUGCACUCAUUGGACGGUGCAGACACUGUACCACACUUCUCUACUAGGAUUGACUUGCAAAUAUGUGUAUUGGACAAACGAACUGUUUUGACAAUAAUGACUCUUGUGCAGAAUGGAAUGGGUAGAACUCAUUGCACAGUAUAAAACCAGAGUGUUAUGAAGGGUGACCCAUGAACCAUGAUGUCUGGGCCUGUUAAAAGAGAAGUUGGCCAGCUGCUCCCACAGCUAAGGAGUAAGCAGUGGGCCAAUAGGAAGGACCUUCAAGGGAAGUCAUACCAGCCACUGUCCAUUGAGUGUCUACAAGGUCCCAAGUCCCUUCUAGACAUUGGCCUGACUCUCCUGCCUGAGACGGGUAGUGAGAGUUUUCCCAUUUUUGCAGUUGGGCUACUCGGGGCCCCUGAGUUAAGUGCCUGCUCUGGGCCACGAGCUGGCAGUGGCUUACACUGAAAGCUUUGUGCUCCCAAGUCAGCGCUUCAUUAGAAAUCGCUUGUUUUCUCCUUGGCUGAGCUGUGUCAGAGCAUGGGCUAGAGAAGUCUGGGGACUUUCCUGAGGUAUUUCUGUUUAUUGAUUGUCCUCUGUUUUGUGAGAGAGAGAGAGAGAGAGAGAGAGAGAGAGAGAGAGAGAGAGAGCCACCUCAUCUGACAAAGGUGUUUUCCCUCUAUCUUUGGGAAUUAAUUUCUGUGGAAAAAAUUAUAGAUCACAACUUGAAUCUCAUUUAGUUUCCCUAAUUACUGUAAUAUUAUAUAUUUAAUGAAUUUGUCUACAGGAGAAGUUGAGUCAGGAGAACCACAAGUUCAAGGCCAGCCUGGGUAACUUAAACCCUGUCUCUAAAUAAAAAUGAAAAAGGACUUGGGGCGUAGGUUGAUCAUAGAAUGUCUGCCUAGUGUAUGCAAGGUCCUGGGUUCAAUCCCUCGUGCCACAAAAUUAAUAAUAAGAAAAAGAAUAAACUUGUGCAAACUGAAGAUUGCAGUGAUGAGCUCUUCAGUUUGGAAUCUACUGAAUGGGAUUCACUCAGGUCUAAAAAGACCUGCCCCGAAUUAAUUACAGCCACAGAUAGUGGGCAAGGGCUUACUACAAGUCACAUGCUUUUGAUGUAAUGAUGUCAUCUGACCGUCACGAUGAUGUGAAAUAUGCACCCCUAAUCCCUUAACUAUGAGCCUUACAUAAGAGACAAGAAAAGGGGGCUCUUUGCAGGAGUCCCUCAGCGAGGUAGCAGCAAGUGUCUGCCUCCUGCAGCCUCUGUCGUGUGCGUUACAGAAACUAGCAGCUAGACACUAGGAAGGUCCUUUGCUACUCACCUGACCUGCAAGACAAUUUAGAACUAUUUAGACACAAAGGCACCAGCGGACAGCUUGCUGGCUGACCUUGUCACAGUGCCUUUUGUGUGAUGAGCUUGCAAUUUCACUCCUUCUUUUGAUUGGAGUACCUGUGGUUGAAGAUCAUGGGGUCUCCAGCAUGGUCUAGCUCCCACCACUGAUCUGGCCUCACAUGGUCUAGCUCCCACCACUGAUCUGACCUCAGGGUCAGAACUAAUACCACAGCCUCUGAACAGAAAUCCCAUGGUCUUUGAGCCAGUCCCUAGCCUGGCAACCUUCCCUUGUUUACCUGCUUGUCUUACAGGCUCUGGGUUUACUACCCUCGGCUUAGACUGAGCUCUAGUUUAUAGGUCCCAAGAGUCCCCUGGCCAGCAGGGACAAAGGGCAAAGGCCAAAGCAGGGCUUGAGAUUGUGCUCUUUGUGGCACAUUGGCCCUAUUGUUCCUGGCUGGCUUCACUCCUCUGCUGUGAGCUCUGGGAUGCCAAUGAUCCCACACCAUGCUGAAUUCUUCCAUAGGAAAGCUGAGGUCAGGUGGGUAUGCCAUGGCGAGCCCCGGGCACAAGCUGCACUCUGCAAGGUGCACAUGUGACUUGAGUCUUUGGUUGUUUCAGGAACAAAUGGCUUUUUAAUUACACAGCCUAGACAGGUCCUUGUGGGCCAGUGGAGAAGGGUACCUCCUGGGGCUGUCUGGCUGCCACCUUGAUUUCCACCCCUUCAAGUGGCCACUUAGAAAAGAGAGGAAUCAUGGAUCAUCAAGCUGAAGGACAGGACGGUCGCACUUUCCAGGUGAGACGCCUAAGCUUCAGCUCUGUUAGCUCUAGAAUGGAGGUGGCAGUGCCCCGACCCUAUAAAAAGUACACGAAGAGAUGCUGUCCCUCUUCAGCACCGAGAAAGACUGCUAAGACAGAGAUGCGCUCUUCUGGGACCUGCCCCGUCCUGGGUCUGUAUGUCACCACAUGCUCUUCAGACUGUAACUCUGGGGACAGCUGCUGUUUUGCUGAAGAGAAAUCACGGCUUGCAAUGGGCCCUUGGCUCCCAUUCCCCAGUCUGCUGUUCCCACGCUGCCGAGCUCCAUGUGCUGACUCAAGGCUCCCCACGAUUCCAAGUCUGAAUGAGCAACUGGGGAAUCCUCCUCCACAUGGCAUGCUCUGCCAGCAUUUGGAGUCACAUGGCGUGAGCACAGCACAGUGUUUGUAAUGGGGAUAAUAUUUUGAAAAUAAUAGCCGCAUAUGUUUUUUUUUUUUUUCCUCUCCAGGAAACAGCACGGCUCAGUCUGUUCUGUGGAUGGUGGGCAGGAGGAGACCAGGAUGUGGGGAAAGUUCUGGUUGGACAGGCUGAGGGAGCAGAGAGCCCACCUCUUCUGGACCCUGGUGGAUGGCCAGCCAAAGGAAGAGGAAGUAGGGAGGGCCUGGAAGCCAGGGCAUGUGUCUGUCAAGAGGUUAUGGAGUUGCAAAGACGUGUGCCUGGGAGUCCUGCAAGUGUCUAUAGCUCUUUGGCUCAGUGCCUGAUCAGAGGCCAAAAUCCCCAAGGGCUGGGGGCUAAGAAAAUAAGACACAUCAGGAGGACGUUUAUAGUAUGAACAUUGGGGGUCAGCUAGUGACCCCAAGGGCUAGAAGAGCCAGACAUAGUGUGAUCAGCCCAUGAAGCAGCCAAGCCGGCCCUUCUGCAGCAGAGAAUGGAGACCGCUGAGGAAAACCCUCCAGGCUAAGGCCAGCUGCUGUGUAUCCGUGACUACCGUUGCCUGCUCAGUGGCUCAGGUUGGUGCCUUCGAGAGGGGAGUGGCCCUUGGAAUGACGCCACAGUGUCUAGCCACAGGAAACUAAGCUGUCUGAAUGACACUAGCGAAAUGGGAGGGGGGCAAAUUAUCCCCAAGUAUAAGUUCAGGUUUGACUAUAAACCCAACUGUGUGCUGCAGGCGGGCGUUUAUACAAAAUAAAAUGCUCUCUUCUUUA